rnacentral:rRNA from 1 species
GACGAACGCUGGCGGCGUGCCUAAUACAUGCAAGUCGAGCGAAUCAAUAGGAGCUUGCUCCUGUUGGUUAGCGGCGGACGGGUGAGUAACACGUGGGCAACCUGCCUGUAAGACUGGGAUAACACCGGGAAACCGGUGCUAAUACCGGAUAAUCCUUUUCCUCUCAUGAGGGAAAGCUGAAAGUCGGUUUCGGCUGACACUUACAGAUGGGCCCGCGGCGCAUUAGCUAGUUGGUGAGGUAACGGCUCACCAAGGCGACGAUGCGUAGCCGACCUGAGAGGGUGAUCGGCCACACUGGGACUGAGACACGGCCCAGACUCCUACGGGAGGCAGCAGUAGGGAAUCUUCCACAAUGGACGAAAGUCUGAUGGAGCAACGCCGCGUGAGCGAUGAAGGCCUUCGGGUCGUAAAGCUCUGUUGUUAGGGAAGAACAAGUACCGGAGUAACUGCCGGUGCCUUGACGGUACCUAACCAGAAAGCCACGGCUAACUACGUGCCAGCAGCCGCCGUAAAAC